GCCCUAGUUCUAACCCUAAACGAUGCUGACCAGCUAUUCGCCGUCGUUAUUCCCAUGACGUGGCGAGACGCCCCCGGGAAACCUCGAGUCUUUGAGUUCCGGGGGUAGUAUGGUUGCAAAACUGAAACUUAAAGGAAUUGACGGAAGGGCACCACCAGGAGUGGAGCCUGCGGCUUAAUUUGACUCAACACGGGAAACCUCACCAGGCCCGGACACCAGAAGGAUUGACAGAUUAAGAGCUCUUUCUCAAUUUGGUGGGUGGUGGUGCAUGGCCGUUCUUAGUUGGUGGAGUGAUUUGUCUGGUUAAUUCCGGUAACGAACGAGACUCUGGCCUACUAACUAGUGGGCGGGUGUUCCGGUAAGGGGCCCCGCCCGACAAUGUCUUCUUAGAGGGAUGAGCAGCGAGUAUAGCUGCAGGAGAUUGAGCAAUAACAGGUCUGU
rnacentral:rRNA from 1 species